UACGGAGGGGGCUAGCGUUGUUCGGAAUUACUGGGCGUAAAGCGCACGUAGGCGGAUUGGUAAGUUGGGGGUGAAAUCCCGGGGCUCAACCCCGGAACUGCCUUCAAAACUCCCAGUCUGGAGGUCGAGAGAGGUGAGUGGAAUUCCGAGUGUAGAGGUGAAAUUCGUAGAUAUUCGGAGGAACACCAGUGGCGAAGGCGGUUCUCUGGGCCGGUACUGACGCUGAGGAGCGAAAGCGUGGGGAGCAAACAGG
rnacentral:rRNA from 1 species